UCUACUAAAUAAAUUGUUAUAGUUCUGUAAAAUGCUAGCAAGUGUGUGUUUAAUGUAAAUGUUAAUCAUGUAAACCAAAUGUAAAUGUUGGUUUGAUCUGUUAUUUCAAUAAACUAUCAUUUUCUGUCAGACUCUUAUAAACAAAUUAGGCUCUGACAUCAUCCUUCAUCUUAAAAAGACUUGAUGUCAUGUUUGUCAGCCAAGUAGAAGCUCCAAUCAUCAUCAUCAUGUUCUCUGUAGUUCUGCUGCUUCUGGCUGCUGGAUCCUGUGUGAAGUGUGAACAGCUGACACAGCCAGACUCUGUGAGUCUUCAGCCAGGUCAGAGACUGACCAUCACCUGUCAGGUCUCUUAUUCUGUGAGCAGCUACUGGACAGCUUGGAUCAGACAGCCUGCAGGGAAAGGACUGGAGUGGAUUGGGAUGAAAUACACUGGAGGCUCUUACUACAAAGAUUCACUGAAGAACAAGUUCAGCAUUGAUUUAGACUCUUCCAACAACAGAGUGACUCUAAAUGGACAGAACAUGCAGCCUGAAGACACUGCUGGGUAUUUCUGUGCCAGAGGGUCACAGUGAUACAAACCAUCAACAGACCUGAACAAAAACCCUCAGAGCCUGAAAACUUGUAGCAUGAAUCCACCAGAGGAG